rnacentral:rRNA from 1 species
AGCAGCCGCGGUAAUUCCAGCUCCAAUAGCGUAUAUUAAAGUUGUUGCAGUUAAAAAGCUCGUAGUUGAAUUUCGGGGUUCUACCGUUGGUCGGGCUUUGUCUGUACUGGCGUGUAGAAUUUCUACCUUCUGGGGAACCAUCAUGUUAUUAAUUUAACGUGGUGGGAAACCAGGACCUUUACCUUGAAAAAAUUAGAGUGUUCAAAGCAGGCUUAUGUCUGAAUACAUUAGCAUGGAAUAAUAGAAUAGGACGGUGGUCCUGUUUUGUUGGUUUCUGAAUCACCGUAAUGAUUAACAGGGAUAGUUGGGGGCAUUAGUAUCCAAUUGUCAGAGGUGAAAUUCUUGGAUUUA